GACGAACGCUGGCGGCGUGCCUAAUACAUGCAAGUCGAGCGGACGGAUGGGAGCUUGCUCCCAGACCGUCAGCGGCGGACGGGUGAGUAACACGUGGGCAACCUGCCUGUAAGACUGGGAUAACUCCGGGAAACCGGGUCUAAUACCGGAUAACUCUUUCCCUCACAUGAGGGAAAGCUGAAAUAUGGCAUCUCGCUAUCACUUACAGAUGGGCCCGCGGCGCAUUAGCUAGUUGGUGAGGUAACGGCUCACCAAGGCGACGAUGCGUAGCCGACCUGAGAGGGUGAUCGGCCACACUGGGACUGAGACACGGCCCAGACUCCUACGGGAGGCAGCAGUAGGGAAUCUUCCGCAAUGGACGAAAGUCUGACGGAGCAACGCCGCGUGAGUGAUGAAGGUUUUCGGAUCGUAAAACUCUGUUGUCAGGGAAGAACAAGUACCGGAGUAACUGCCGGUACCUUGACGGUACCUGAACAGAAAGCCACGGCUAACUACGUG
rnacentral:rRNA from 1 species